AAAAGUACAGGGUUUCGAUAGAGUGACCUGCGGUAGGAUCAUUA
rnacentral:rRNA from 1 species